rnacentral:rRNA from 1 species
GACGAACGCUGGCGGCGUGCUUAACACAUGCAAGUCGAACGGAAAGGCCCUGCUUUUGUGGGGUUCUCGAGUGGCAAACGGGUGAGUAACACGGGAGUAACCUGCCCUUGACUUUGGGAUAACUUCAGGAAACUGGGGCUAAUACCGGAUAGGAGCUCCUGCUGCAUGGUGGGGGUUGGAAAGUUUGGGCGGUUGGGGAUGGACUCGCGGCUUAUCAGCUGGUUGGUGGGGUAGUGGCUUACCAAGGCUUUGACGGGUAGCCGGCCUGGGGGGGUGACCGGCAACAUUGGGAUUGAGAUCCGGCCCGGACUCCUACGGGAGGAAGCAGUGGGGAAUAUGGCACAAGGGGCGGAAGCCUAAUGCAGCAACGCCGCGUGCGGGAUGACGGCCUUCGGGUUGUAACCCGCUUUGGCAUGUGACGAAGCGUGAGUGACGGUAAUGGGUAAAGAAGCACCGGCUAACUACGUG